ACUUAUGACCAUACUGCCUUGAAUUCUCUUUUCUCAUCUUAGAAGCUAAGCAAGGCUCCAACCUGGUUAGUACUUGGAUGGGAAACCACCUUGGAAUAAUGGGUGCUGUAGGCU
ensembl:rRNA 5S_rRNA 5S ribosomal RNA